rnacentral:lncRNA from 1 species
AUGGAAUCCCAUCCAGAUCCCCGCAGGAACGGGGUUCCGUUCGAGACAAUCGAUCUGCUCUUAAGUCCGCCCCCACCGCUCUCUGAUUCCCCUACGGGCAACCCAGCUACUGGCCCUUUAAAAACUGUUAGAACCAAAAAAAAAAAAAAAAAAAAACAGACAGAUAAUCGUCCCGACCAAUUGACGACGGAGAGUGGCAACUUGGGGCCAAUCGUGGCACUGCUAGUGCAGAAGACCGAAGCUGCGAGGGUCACCGGCUCAGGACUCACCGCCGUUGCGGCCGCGUCGCCGUUACCAGACAUGGCUGUGCGCGCCAGGAAUACCGACGGUCAGUGGCCAAGAUAUGCUUCCCGGAUUUAUCCACAAAACUCUGGGAGCCAGGACCCAAGCACAGCCUGGUGCUCUUGGAUAGAGAAUAAAGCCGCUAUUGUCCAGACUCCGAGGUUGCUGAGGUGCCCUCCCCCUCUGGUCUGGAAUGAUCUACACUGCUCAAAAAGUCAACAGGACAAAUGGCAGGUUGGCCGAAGAAGGAGGCAGGAAAAGAAAGUCCCCUUAAGUCCUGAGGGCUAUGGCAUCAGAUGAGAGCAGAGUCCUGGGCAUGUCUGCUAACUCCUGUGCAACAGCCCUGUCUCUGUCCCCCUGAGUCCCUGCUGCUGGGCCUCCACCGCC